UUUACAAGCACUGAAAAACCCUCAGAAGUCUCCUAGCAGAUUUCCAUGAACUCUCAAUGGCAGAACCCUGCUGCCCUGGUAUGCUCAACAGCAAAGGAGUCUGGAAUAGUAAUUCUCUCACAAGGUGCUGUGGGCUAUGUCCAUCAUUGCCCCCAAUGAAAUUGAGAUUCUGUUUAUAAGGACAGACAUGAAUGAUAGUUAGUAUAUUACAGUGGCUUCCAUAGUCUCCUUCUUCAUAGAGUUAGUUCUCUGGCCACUUUGCGGAAAGAUAAGGUGGAGUAAAACGUGCGGUGGAGGUCACAUGGUGUUUGUGCAAAUCGCUUGGGUCUACAGGGCACCAGAGUGGGGCUAAAGUGCGAAUGAGGUGGAACACUCAGGAACAGCCUGUCAGAACAAGCAUGAUUUAAAGCAGCUGCCCUGGAGAGUGUGUCAUUUUUUAUAGCAAUAAAAGCAGUAAUGAUGGACUUUAUAUUGCAGUCACAAGCUACCAUUACUAUGUCAGGUUAAAUGCAUAACAUUGAAUGUUGUGUGAAUUGGAAGUAAAAUGACCACAGAAGGAAGUCUAGGAUCAAAAUAGAUGUAAAGACUGUUGUAGUGUUUUACUUUGCUUUCUUGUAGAGGCAGUGUUAUCAGUAGGAUGAAUGGCUGUUAACUUCGUGUGGAGAGAGAAAAAUGUAUGGAGCUGUAGAUACAUCCAGAUUCUGGGGCAGACAGGAAUGGCUUGUCGGGAUCCUGGAAGAAGCAAAACUGGAAGAUUGUCCUGAUUGAAUUUGACUAUUUCUCAAUACUGUCAACUCUGCCAAAAACCUCAGCAAAGAAAGUAAUUACCUUUUAAAGUAUUUCUCCCACUCUGAUCCUUGGAGUUGGGGAAAACAGGUGGGGGAAGAGGAAAGGCUUUGUAGAAGAAUCAGACAGCCGAUUGCAUUUUAUUAAACCUAGGAAGUCCUUGUGACCUCACUUUCCUAAGACUCAUUUCUGUUGAAGGAACCAACCAAAGCAGAUAUUUUGGGGGGAAAAUGUGACAAUAAAACAUACCAAUUUCCUCAUCAAAGCUGGAGAAGUUGAAAAGGAGUUUGGGGAGAAGAAAGCAAAGCCCGUAAGACACUGGAGAAAUGUUAAUUAAGAGCACUUCAUAAACAUAACCUAAAGCAGAAUAUUCUGUAAAACGUGAUGUUCAAAGCCACAUCAGAGCUUCAGGCAAAAAUGGCACUUCUUUCCUGGCUUUAUGAGACAGAAUCCUCAAGGCCACAUACCUUCAAACAUCUUUAAAAGUGCAAUCAUUUCUCACAAAGCAGUCGCUCUGAAGUGUGAUUUUAAAGUUGUAU